CCAUUCCUGCAGCUUGGUAUUCAGCUCUGUACACAUAUGCUUGUUUUGCAGUUUGUUAUUUAUAAAAACAGCUUUGAGCAAAGGCUGCCACAAAACCAUGAAGCCAAGCUUGAUUGCUUUGCUUUUACUGAAAUGUGGUGCCAGCUAAGACCUGAAGCAAACCAGGAAAGGGGAGCAGAUGUCUGUGCACUGAGACUGAGUAAAGGCUGGUGCCACAAACCUGGCAUGUCCUCCUUCACCGGUGGAGAAGGGACUUGUGGGGCACUGCUGGGGUGUCAGGGUUUGUUAUCAGCAGAAGCAAAAGGUGGUAAAAUAGGAACAGAGAGGCACUGCCUGUGCAUAGUAAGGAGUGUCUCCAGCGUGAAGGUUGGUCUCUAAAAGCGGUGGAGGAGGACUGAGAGGGAAUAGAUGAGUGCAGAACUCUGGGGAUUUAAACCAAAACCUGAUGAUACAUCAAGGUCUGCUGGAGGGCUGGAAAUAGAACAAGAGAAUUCCUCCAGGGCUUGGGUGGCUCCUGGGUUUUCCAUCACCAGCACCAGACUGUCCAGACCUACCCAUGCAAGCAAACCCACCGUCAGUGCAGCUCGAACAGCCAGACCCUCCUUGAGCCUCAGGCAUUUGGCUGUGCCCAGCAGUUAUACCCACAUCGAGCAUCUCAUUGCAUGCAAAGAUCUGCAAUAACCUGGUGAUGAACAGCUGCUGGUGGCAAGACCAGACAGCAGCAAAGAUGAUCCUGGCAGCCUUCUGCCCUCCUCGUGCACCACAUGCAGACCCAGAUGAGGGCUGCAGACAGCACCAAAGAUGGCCAGCGGUUAUCCUGCAACUUUAAACUGGAGCGCUUGAGUGGAGUGCUUUUGGAGAGUGCAUCAUUUCCUUGGAAAUAAAUUAUAAUGUUGUACUUUA